AAGAAAAGAAGAAGACGAGACCCUAACUCUCCAUCUCCAUCUCCGCUACUGCUGCCACCUCCAUCUCCGCUUACAGGUUAGUUCACCUUCAUCUCUACUUCACCUUCAUCUCUGCUUCAAGAUUUCACCGAAACCCUAAUUUAUGCUUCAAGAUCGAACCCUAACUUUCAUCCUAAAUCUUCCCAAAUCUUCAUCCCAGAUUUCACCGAAACCCUAACUCUCUUCAUCCCUUAAUCCCAAAUCUUCUUCAAGAUUUCACUUUCCCUCUUUCCUGGUUUCCAAUUCCCUCUCACAUUUUGUCAAAAAAAAUCCCUCUUACCCUAAAACCUUUCCCCUUCUUUUCGUUAACAAAAACAAAGGGUAUUGAUAUGGGAUUGCCGGUUGUUUGACAUUAUCGCUUCCUAGUUCUCGUUAUUGUCCCCUACUGAGACUUAGGGUUUACCCAUCAUCAUCAACACUCUCUUUUCAAUUAAUUUUUUCUGACGCAUCUCUCAAUUCAUCACCAGAUUUUACACUAUGGGAAAAUUGCAAAAUGAUUAUCUAUUCAACUGUAAUCAAAUCUUCAACAAAAAAAUUAUUCAAUGACCUGGAUUUGGAUUUAAUUGUCAUCCAAACUGAGAAUCUCAACAAUGGAGAACUUGGGCCUCUUGCUUUAUUCAAGCAACAUGGCGGCGAUAUUGUAAAAAGAAAGUUAUGAAGCUUUGUCAAAAGGAAGAAGAAGAAACAAAUAAGUUUGAAGGAACUCACGGGAACUCUGGCGGCAUUUCCUCCAGCCUUGGCGCUGCCUUAAUGAAAAGUCUAAUAAUAUUCCUUUGUUUCAUUAGGUUGUUUCUCAAGAUGUUUAUUCUUUGCAUAAAACUUCAACAAGAGAUCAUGUGAAACGUGUAGCGUCAAGGGAUUUCAAUGCUAGAAGUACUGAAGUUCUACGUGAGGUGAGUGCAGGUAAAGUAUUGUGCAGCAAGACAUCACUCCAACCAUGCGUGAAAUUCUGGUUGAUUGGCUUGUGGAGGUUUCUGAUGAAUAUUAACUAGUUCCAGACACACUCUACCUUACCGUGAAUAUCAUUGACCGGUUCCUUUCCUAUAGCGUGAUUACAAGGCAGAGGCUCCAAUUGCUUGGUGUUACUUGCAUGCUGAUUUCUUCCUUGAAGUAAGUAUGAAGAGAUUUCUGCUCCCCCGCUAGAAGAAUUUGUCAUAAUUACGGAUAAUACGUUCAUAAUGACAGAUAUAUGAAACACCAAAUAAUCGGCACUUGAUAGAUUUUGAAAAUGGAGAAAGAGGAAAAGCCUCACUUAUUCCAAUUUGUUCCAAAUGAGAAGCAGCUGUUAUUUUGAGGUCUGUCAAACUUGACAUGUUUGAGUUUUAGACGAAAAGAUUCAAUAUCUUCUCAAGGAAUGAGUGCUUUCUCUGGUCUUGUUAACAUGGUCAAGUUGGAUUUGGAGAGAUUCCCUGGGAUUCAUUGAGGCAUUGUCCAUCUUCAAGAAUGAGCUAGCAUUGGAUGAGAAAAGCUGUAAGGAAACAAUGGAUCUGUUUGGAGAAAUCAAACAUCUUGUGGCUAAUGUUUCGUUAAUGGGAAACGGGACGGUACACAUUGAAGAAUUAGAAUGGUACUGGUUUGCUUUUAUUCUAUACUCUAUCAAGAAACUUACUCAGAAAAACGAGGAGAAUGGGAAGGAAGAGAUUGAGAAUACCGAUCUUACCUUGUGCCGAAUAUUGCUUUUCUGACCUUUAUCUAAAAUUACUACAUCCAUGUCAUGUGAAUUGUACUGAUAUCUCAUGUAUUUUUCACAAUUAAUUGGUACUUGUCAUACCCUAAUUUUUGA